GACGAACGCUGGCGGCGUGCCUAAUACAUGCAAGUUGAGCGAUGAAGAUUGGUGCUUGCACCAAUUUGAAGAGCAGCGCACGGGUGAGUAACGCGUGUGGAAUCUGCCUUUGAGCGGGGGACCACAUUUGGACACGAAUGCUAAUACCGCAUAACAACUUUAAACAUAAUUUUUAAGUUUGAAAGAUGCAAUUGCAUCACUCACAGAUGAUCCCUCGUUGUAUUAGCUAGUUGGUGAGGUAAAGGCUCACCAAGGCGAGGAUACAUAGCCGACCUGAGAGGGUGAGUAGCCACACUGGGACGGAGACACGGCACAAACGGACAGAGGAGGGAGCAGUAGUGAAACUGCGGGAAGGGACGAAAGUUAGACCGAGAAAGGCGGCGUGAGUGAAGAAGGUUUUCGGAUGGUAAAACACUGUUGGUAGAGAAGAACGUGGGUGAGAGUGGAAAGAACAGCAAGUGACGGUAACGACCAAGAAAGGGACGGCUAACUACGUG
rnacentral:rRNA from 1 species